rnacentral:sRNA from 1 species
CUUGAAUGCUUACUUUGUGUUUACCGUGUGAGUCCUAAAUGAUAUGCUAACUUUAGCAGCUAGAAUGGGACCAUAGCAGGCUUGAUUAAUGUGUCAAGGUAGGAGACAGUUGUCAUUGUCCUGUUGUUUUAAAAACAUCAAGACAAUUAAACCUUGUCACAUUUCAGCUGUUUAGUUUCUGAUGCCCAAUUCUACAUAUGAGCAGGGCAGGUUAGCACCAUUACUGUAUACUGUAGUAAUAAAUGUACGUUAGCACCAUUACUGUAUACUGUAGGGCAGGUUAGCACCAUUACUGUAUACUGUAGUAAUAAAUGUACAUUAGCACCAUUACUGUAUACUGUAGGGCAGGUUAGCACCAUUACUGUAUACUGUAGUAAUAAAUGUACGUUAGCACCAUUAUUAUAUAUUGUAGUAAUAAAUGUACGUUAGCACCAUUACUGUAUGCUAUAGUAAUAAAUGUACAUUAAAGAC